rnacentral:rRNA from 1 species
AGUCGAACGGCAGCACGGGGGCAACCCUGGUGGCGAGUGGCGAACGGGUGAGUAAUACAUCGGAAUGUACCCAGUAGUGGGGGAUAACUAGUCGAAAGAUUAGCUAAUACCGCAUACGCACUAUGGUGGAAAGCGGGGGAUCGCAAGACCUCGCGCUAUUGGAGCAGCCGAUGUCCGAUUAGGUAGUUGGUGGGGUAAAAGCCUACCAAGCCCGCGAUCGGUAACUGGUCUGAGAGGACGACCAGUCACACUGGGACUGAGACACGGCCCAGACUCCUACAGGAGGCAGCAGUGGGGAAUUUUGGACAAUGGGGGAAACCCUGAUCCAGCAAUGCCGCGUGUGUGACGAAGGCCUUCGGGUUGUAAAGCACUUUUGGCGGGAACGAAACGGCGCUUUCUAAUACAGAGCGCUAAUGACGGUACCCGCAGAAUAAGCACCGGCUAACUACGUGCCAGCAGCCGCGGUAAUACGUAGGGUGCAAGCGUUAAUCGGAAUUACUGGGCGUAAAGCGUGCGCAGGCGGUUUCGUAAGACAGAUGUGAAAGCCCCGGGCUCAACCUGGGAAGUGCAUUUGUGACUGCGAGACUAGAGUGUGUCAGAGGGAGGUAGAAUUCCACGUGUAGCAGUGAAAUGCGUAGAGAUGUGGAGGAAUACCGAUGGCGAAGGCAGCCUCCUGGGAUAACACUGACGCUCAUGCACGAAAGCGUGGGGAGCAAACAGGAUUAGAUACCCUGGUAGUCCACGCCCUAAACGAUGUCUACUAGUUGUCGGGGAUUCGUUUCCUUGGUAACGCAGCUAACGCGUGAAGUAGACCGCCUGGGGAGUAC